rnacentral:rRNA from 1 species
AUUGAACGCUGGCGGCAUGCCUUACACAUGCAAGUCGAACGCGAAAGGGGGGCAACCCCUGAGUAGAGUGGCGCACGGGUGAGUAAUGCAUCGGAACGUGUCCUGUAGCGGGGGAUAACCUAGCGAAAGCUAGGCUAAUACCGCAUACGCCCUAAGGGGGAAAGUGGGGGAUCGUAAGACCUCACACUAUAGGAGCGGCCGAUGCCGGAUUAGCUAGUUGGUGGGGUAAAAGCUCACCAAGGCGACGAUCCGUAGCUGGUCUGAGAGGAUGAUCGGCCACACUGGGACUGGAACACGGCCCAGGCUCCUACGGGAGUCAGCGAUGGGGAAUUUUGGACAAUGGGGGAAACCCUGAUCCAGCCAUGCCGCGUGAGUGAAGAAGGCCUUCGGGUUGUAAAGCUCUUUCGGCCGGGACGAAAUCGCACGCGUGAAUAUCGUGUGCGGAUGACGGUACCGGCAGAAGAAGGACCGGCUAACUACGUGCCAGCCGCCGCGGUAA